CUGGACAGAUCGCCAGUCUGUGGCAGGGCUACAUAUACAGACAAACAAUCACACUCACAUUCACACCUACGGGCAAUUUAGAGUAACCAAUUAACCUCAGCAUAUUUUUGGACGGGCUGCACAGUGGGGUAGUGGUUAGCACUUUCGCCUUGCAGCAAGAAGAUCCCCGGUUCAAAUCCCGGGGUGGGCCUGGGAUCUUUCUGCAUGGAGUUUGCAUGUUCUCCCUGUGCAUGCGUGGGUUUUCUCCGGGUACUCCGGCUUCCUCCCACAGUCCAAAAAUAUGCUGAGGUUAAUUGAUUACUCUAAAUCGCCCGUAGGUAUGAAUGAGAGAGUGAUCGUCUGUAUAUGUAGCCCUGCAACAGACUGGCGACCUGUCCAGGGUGUCCCCUGCCUUCGCCCGAGUCAGCUGGGAUAGGCUCCAGCACCCCCCGUGACCAUAGUGAGGAUAAAGCAGUGUAUAGAGAAUGGAUGGAUAUUUUUGGACUGUGGGAGGAAGCCAGAGUACCUGGAGAAAACCCACGCAUGCACAGGGAGAACAUGCAAACUCCAUGCAGAAAGAUCCCAGGCCAGGAUUUGACCCAGGGAUCUUCUUGCUGCAAGGCUUAAGAGAUAACCAGUAGACCACUGUGCAGCCCUGCUUCAUGACCAUGAACAAUCUAUACUUUUUUAUGGAUCCCACAUAGAUUGUCCUGUGUGCCACCAUAUUCAGAUUAUUUCUUCCUAGAUGAUAAAUUGCAUAAAAUAAGAAUGAUAUAAAAACAUUGAAUAAUCUUUAACCCCUUUCCUCACAAUGACCAUUAUUCACAUUAGCAGUUGCACUAUUCAAAGCUGUAUCCCUCCCUAAAAACAAAGAAACUAUUAAUAUAAAGUGUUCACAGAAAGGCAACAAAAAAGUAUGUGCUUAAACCGUUUGAUAGUCAAAAGAAUAGAAUAUUCUUUAUUAGUCCCACAAGCGGAAAUCUGCAAUGUCACAGCAGCAAAGUGACAGUAAGAAAAGCACAUCUAUGAUUUAAAAAGGUGAAGUGUACACACUGUAAUAAAAUGAGAAAAACAGUAACAUAAGGAUAUUAAGACAAAUUUAAAAAUAUUUACAUGAAAAGAAAUAGAAAUGUGAAAAAAAUGUAUUCAGUAUAAUUUAUUAUGACACACUACAGUGCAGUUUAAAAGGUUUCAUCGUCACACAGCUUUUUUUACUGCAUGAAGAUAUGUGUAGUUUAACAAUAUUUAUUGUUAUUCAUCUCAUUUGUUUCCUUAUGCUUUUAUGCAGAUAAACAUGACUUGCUUUCUUCACUGGUAUUCUGAUUCUGUUCCUCAUUAAUUUGUACACUGGUUUCAUAGGAUUUAGUUAUAGGAAAGAUGAAAGAGGGAGAAAUGUGGCGAAUCCACCUCAACAAUUUUCCUGCUUUCUGAUGGGGAAAAAAAAACUAUGUUCCUUUUGUCAAGCUUUUCUACACCGUAUUAAAUCUCUUAUUCACAUCAUUACUGUUAUGCUUGUCUCUCUUUAUCAUCCUAACACUUUGUUUUCAUGUCUCCCUGUGUCGCUUUUUCUCUUUUUGUGUUAUGUCAACAACACUCAACUGUUUCCACUUUAAACAAAGGACGCUCAGCAGCAUAAAAUGAGCCAAUUGACAGUGGAGAAAGAGGCUCUGGACUGGAAGGAGAGGGGCUAUAAAGGAGCCUGUGGAGGAUGACAGAGCAGGACGGCAGUUGAAGGAGAGCGGCAAGGGGAGACAGCAUGAGGCCGGGAACCGGGGUAGAAGGAAACGUUGAGGCGAAGCAGGAAAAGACCGAGAACGUUACGACGUGUCACACUCACAGCAGCAGGGCUAAUAGCUCUGCCUGGUGUGCGAGUAUCCCUUUGGGCUUUUAGUAACAUUCUGGUGUUUGUACAUCCCUGGGAGAGGGUUGAUGGUGCGAGACGUCCAUACCGGCAGUGGGUUUUCUGUCUUUCAAGCAGAAGAGUCCAGGACCGGAAGAAGACUGCUGAACACUAGCUUCUGAACCUCGUGCACCUUACCCCGGUCUCCUUGGACCUUCAAUAUUCAUUUUAAACAGACUUUACGUUUUAAUGGCCAUUCACCCCGCUGGCUUUUAACCUGGUUGCCAGCAUUUGAGGAAGUUUUAACCAGCUUAUUGGGAUUUUAAAGAAAUCGCUCCCUGUAAAUAAAUUGUCUGCACUGGCA